rnacentral:rRNA from 1 species
CAGCCGCCACGGGAAUACAGAGGGUGCAAGCGUUAAUCGGAAUUACUGGGCGUAAAGCGCGCGUAGGUGGUUUGUUAAGUUGGAUGUGAAAUCCCCGGGCUCAACCUGGGAACUGCAUUCAAAACUGACUGACUAGAGUAUGGUAGAGGGUGGUGGAAUUUCCUGUGUAGCGGUGAAAUGCGUAGAUAUAGGAAGGAGCACCAGUGGCGAAGGCGACCACCUGGACUAAUACUGACACUGAGGUGCGAAAGCGUGGGGAGCAAACAGGAUUAGAUACCCGUGUAGUCCCUGUCUCUUAUAC